AACGAACGCUGGCGGCAUGCCUAACACAUGCAAGUCGAACGAGACCUUCGGGUCUAGUGGCGCACGGGUGCGUAACGCGUGGGAAUCUGCCCUUGGGUUCGGAAUAACAGUGAGAAAUUACUGCUAAUACCGGAUUAUGUCUUCGGACCAAAGAUUUAUCGCCCAGGGAUGAGCCCGCGUAGGAUUAGCUAGUUGGUGGGGUAAUGGCCUACCAAGGCGACGAUCCUUAGCUGGUCUGAGAGGAUGAUCAGCCACACUGGGACUGAGACACGGCCCAGACUCCUACGGGAAGCAGCAGUGGGGAAUAUUGGACAAUGGGCGCAAGCCUGAUCCAGCAAUGCCGCGUGAGUGAUGAAGGCCUUAGGGUUGUAAAGCUCUUUUACCCGGGAUGAUAAUGACAGUACCGGGAGAAUAAGCUCCGGCUAACUCCGUG
rnacentral:rRNA from 1 species